rnacentral:rRNA from 1 species
AAAGAACUUUGAAGAGAGAGUAAAAUAGUACGUGAAAUUGUUGAAAGGGAAACGAUUGAAGUCAGUCGUACCGACGGAAAAUCAGCUCUUCGAGUGCGGACUUGUGGGCGUACGUGAGCUUUAACCGGCCUCGUCGUUUGCUACGUUUGUGCUUUUUGGGUGUACCUUUUCGUAUGGUAGGCCAACGUCAGUUUCGAUCACCAUAAAAUGAUCGGAGGAAUGUAGCUUCGAUCUUGUAUUGAAGUGUUAUAGCCUUUGGUAGAUGUGGUGACUGAGACUGAGGAUUGCAACGAAUACCCUUUGGGCUAUCCGUCUGACCUCUGAAAGUUGCUUAGGUGCCGAAAGCUUGCUUACGGUCAUCUAUGACGACGGUCAAAAGGCUAGAACGUGAUUAUAUUCGUUAAGGAUGUUGGCGUAAUGGCUUUAAACGACCCGUCUU